rnacentral:tRNA from 1 species
UUAAAAAUAAGUUAAUUAAACUAUUAGACUCAUAAUCUAAAUAUAGAAUUAAUAUAUUCUUUUUUAUA